CCGUCCAUGGAAGCGGGAACUGCUCUCACUGUUCCCACUCACAUUCCCAUUCCCUUUUCCAAACGAACCACAAAAUCAGAGAAAACACCAUUCCUUUCUUUUCCUCUCCCAGCCUUCCAAACGCGCUUCCGUACCUUAAACCUUUCAUCUCCUCGUUCUUCUUCGUCAUCUUCUUCAGCUGACAGUUACAAAGGACCGAAGCCAAAACGCGACUUCCUUGCCGACUGGGUAUCCAAAAACGACGACGUCGUUCGCACCCUCCCUAUAUACGUUGGUUCUGCCUCCCUCUUCACCGUCCUCCUCAAUCGCGCCCUCUCCGGCAUUGCUCCCAUCGCCGAUGCCGGCAGUUCACAAUCCAGAGCUGACCUCUUGACCUUAGGGUUAGCCGUCACCAAUAUUUUGACAGGCCUAGUGUGGCUUUCUAUAAGACCCAAAUCUAUAAUGCCAGUAGACCCUGAAGGAGUUGAAUGCAAGAGUGUGUGCACUGGUCUACCAGAGGUUGCAGUCAACGAGUUGCUCUGGGCGUGGGAGUCUCUAUCAGACGUCACGUGUUGUCAAUCCCUCAUUAUUGUUUAUGAGAGCAUUUGUGUACUUCAAAUUGGUGUUGCAGCAGAAUCUUCGCUUGGAAAUGGUGUGGCUGUCAGCGUGGACACCAAUAAAUUGAUGCAAGGAUCAAUAUAUCAGGGUGUUAUGAAAUCUGGAGCUCAAAGUUACUUGGCUAACCUAUCUCUUUAUCCUGGGAGAUCCGAGCUGCCAUUUCUGCCUUCAAAUACUCAGCUUCCGGGGAGUCAGUUUCUUGAAUGGCUUAUACCUAAAUAGUCUGGCAACUGGAGCACUUGAGUCUUUUAGUGAGAUCUUGGUAGGGACUUGGGUAGCAUGGGGUACAUUGUGUUGUAUUUGAGGCAGUAAUUUUACAACCACUUGCCGAAAAAGGAAUUGCAAUUAUUGGCGGGGAUACAAUACGAGGUUUCACUACUUCUGAUCAGGCGUGGAUUACUUUUAUCGGAGACAAACUGGAUUCUACCCUUGCAAAGUAUGUAAAACAUCUCCCUGUGAGUUAACAAGAUCAAUAUUCAAGGAUUCGCAAGCUUUCCCACUUGAGUUUGUUUGAUAACUUUAUCUUCAAUGGUCUAAAGAGAAUAUUUUCCUUGCUAGAUUGAAGAGUAUUCUAACAUCUUGACCUAGAUAAGAAUUUUAAGUUUUAUAAAUUGUAAUUUGGUCCCUCGAGUUUGUAAAAUUAAUUUUUGAUAUAUACAAAACAAAAAUGUUCGUUGACCAAGGCUUUUUUGAAGCCAAGUUUAACCAAGUUGGACAAUAACUAAUUGGCUCAAAACAAACCCACAUGCCACUCUUACAUAAAGCUUUCUUAAUGAAUAAUGAUAUAUGUUUUAACUAAACUAAAGACAGAAUUAUGUUUCAAUAAACAAAAAAUGAAUAGAUUGUCACCAAAAUUAUCCAUAAAAAAAGCAUCUAAAACUCCAAUAAAUUAGAUUUAACCAAGAUUAAAACCUAUUUCGUUUGAGUUAUUUCAGAGAAAUGAACCAAUUGACUCUCUCGUGGGAGAAAAAAUUCGAAGACAUGAGA